GCCUACCUCAACAUGCGGCACUACGGGCAGCAAGGGAUGGGCGCAAGUGCCAGCGAAUACCAGACACCCUGAAGCCGGUGGAUGAUCAUCUCGACAUGUUCCUUGUGGUGCCAGCAACACUUGCACCGCUGGUGUGGCAUUCUUUGCACGCUAUGCUGGGAUAGUUUUUUAGGAGUGCCAUGUCUGGACAGCUUAUUCAGAAGCAGGCUGUCGUCGUCGAGAUCCAUGCUUUUUUUUUAACGGAUGAUGUUGCAGUGCCCACAUGGGCACUACAGAUUUGCAGCCUACAGGCAGUGUGCCCUGUGGCUGUGGAGCCGCUUGGGAAAGAAGAAUAGGCGGCCCCUGCCAUCCUGUGUGGUCAAGACAAUUAGGGGCAGGUACCCUGCUGACGUGUAUGCGGGCUACAGGGAUGCAGAAUAAAUUGCGUUGACCUAGAGACCACGCAACCCCCUUCCCUUGUCUCUUCACCCUCCCUGCAUGUGUGUGAAGUCGCUCGUAGCCAUGAACGGAAUCCUCUAAAUCACGUGACCUAUUAUCUACGAUAUCACGUGACCAUAACUAUGAUCACAUGAUCGUAGUCAAACC
rnacentral:lncRNA from 1 species